AGUGAACGCUGGCGGUAGGCCUAACACAUGCAAGUCGAACGGCAGCACAGUAAGAGCUUGCUCUUACGGGUGGCGAGUGGCGGACGGGUGAGGAAUACAUCGGAAUCUACUUUUUCGUGGGGGAUAACGUAGGGAAACUUACGCUAAUACCGCAUACGACCUACGGGUGAAAGCAGGGGAUCUUCGGACCUUGCGCGAUCGAAUGAGCCGAUGUCGGAUUAGCUAGUUGGCGGGGUAAAGGCCCACCAAGGCGACGAUCCGUAGCUGGUCUGAGAGGAUGAUCAGCCACACUGGAACUGAGACACGGUCCAGACUCCUACGGGAGGCAGCAGUGGGGAAUAUUGGACAAUGGGCGCAAGCCUGAUCCAGCCAUACCGCGUGGGUGAAGAAGGCCUUCGGGCUGUAAAGCCCUUUUGUUGGGAAAGAAAAGCAGCAGGUUAAUACCCCGCUGUUCUGACGGUACCCAAAGAAUAAGCACCGGCUAACUUCGUG
rnacentral:rRNA from 1 species